rnacentral:rRNA from 1 species
GAGUUUGGGAGAGGGAUGUGGAAUUCCAGGUGUAGCGGUGAAAUGCGUAGAUAUCUGGAGGAACACCGGUGGCGAAGGCGGCAUCCUGGACCGGUAUUGACGCUGAGGCGCGAAAGCCAGGGGAGCAAACGGGAUUAGAUACCCCGGUAGUCCUGGCCCUAAACGAUGAAUGCUUGGUGUGGCGGGUAUCGAUCCCUGCCGUGCCGAAGUUAACGCAUUAAGCAUUCCGCCUGGGGAGUACGGUCGCAAGGCUGAAACUCAAAUGAAUUGACGG